GGCCGGAUGGUGUAGUUGGUUAUCACGUAUCGUUAACAAGUCGCUCCUUUCCAGGACGCUUGGAUUCCGAUAAGGUCCCCGGUUCGAGUCCGGGUUUGGUCA